rnacentral:sRNA from 1 species
GGAUGUGAGGGCGAUCUGGCUGCGACAUCUGUCACCCCAUUGAUCGCCAGGGUUGAUUCGGCUGAUCUGGCUGGCUAGGCGGGUGUCCCCUUCCUCCCUCACCGCUCCAUGUGCGUCCCUCCCGAAGCUGCGCGCUCGGUCGAAGAGGACGACCUUCCCCGAAUAGAGGAGGACCGGUCUUCGGUCAAGGGUAUACGAGUAGCUGCGCUCCCCUGCUAGAACCUCCAAACAAGCUCAAGGUCCA